UCUCCGUUGGUGAACCAGCGGAGGGAUCAUUACAGAGUUGCAAAACUCCCUACACCACUGUGAACAUACCACUGUUGCCUCGGCGGACCCGCCCCGGGCGCUCCCCCUCCGCGGGGCGUGUUCCGGGCCCAGGCGGCCGCCGGGGGUACCAAACCUCUGUUUUUAUAGCGGACUUCUGAUUAUCAUGAGAAAAUAAAUCAAAACUUUCAGCAACGGAUCUCUUGGCUCUG
rnacentral:misc_RNA from 1 species